UUGUGAUGAGCAACAAAUGACAAUAAUGUAACCAACAUGGGUUGUGGUGUAGUGGUGGGAUUAGUCCAAUCUUAACCAGAGGUUUCGAGUUCGAGCCCUAGGCAUGUAGAAAUUUUGUUGGGAGCUUCAUCCCCAAAAUGAACCCUGCAGUGUGGGAUCCGUAUUAGUCGGGGCUCCUAUGCGGAAAGAAGACAAUAAUAUGGUGAUACAGUCGUAUCCUUCAAGUUCAAAUACAGAAAUAGAUUCUGAAGGAGAAAAAGAAAGUGUGAAAUAUCUAUCAGAUGAUUUUCUUACUAUUAAGAUGGUUAAAAGGCACAACAUCAACACGGAGAAUUGAGAACAAAGUGAUAACAAAAAAUUGGGU
rnacentral:lncRNA from 1 species